CCUACGGGAGGCAGCAGUGGGGAAUUUUGGACAAUGGGGGCAACCCUGAUCCAGCCAUGCCGCGUGUGUGAAGAAGGCCCUCGGGUUGUAAAGCACUUUCGGACGGAACGAAAUCGCGCGGGUGAACAAUCCGCGUGGAUGACGGUACCGUAGGAAGAAGCACCGGCUAACUACGUGCCAGCAGCCGCGGUAAUACGUAGGGUGCGAGCGUUAAUCGGAAUUACUGGGCGUAAAGUGUGCGCAGGUGGCCGCGCAAGUCGAGUGUGAAAGCCCCGGGCUUAACUUGGGAAUUGCGCUCGAAACUACGUGGCUAGAGUGUGGCAGAGGAAGGUGGAAUUCCACGUGUAGCGGUGAAAUGCGUAGAGAUGUGGAGGAACACCGAUGGCGAAGGCAGCCUUCUGGGCCAACACUGACACUCAUGCACGAAAGCGUGGGGAGCAAACAGGAUUAGAUACCCUGGUAGUCCACGCCCUAAACGAUGAUGACUAGUUGUUGGGGGAGUUAAAUCCCUUAGUAACGCAGCUAACGCGUGAAGUCAUCCGCCUGGGGAGUACGGUCGCAAGAUUAAAACUCAAAGGAAUUGACGG
rnacentral:rRNA from 1 species